CAGUCGCCGCGGUAACACAGAGGGUGCGAGCGUUAAUCGGAUUUACUGGGCGUAAAGCGUGCGUAGGCGGCUUUUUAAGUCGGAUGUGAAAUCCCUGAGCUUAACUUAGGAAUUGCAUUCGAUACUGGGAAGCUAGAGUAUGGGAGAGGAUGGUAGAAUUCCAGGUGUAGCGGUGAAAUGCGUAGAGAUCUGGAGGAAUACCGAUGGCGAAGGCAGCCAUCUGGCCUAAUACUGACGCUGAGGUACGAAAGCAUGGGGAGCAAACAGGAUUAGAUACCCCAGUAGUCCCUGUCUCUUAUAC
rnacentral:rRNA from 1 species